rnacentral:rRNA from 1 species
ACGGAGGGAGCGAACGUUGUUCGGAUUUACUGGGUGUAAAGGGUGCGUAGGCGGCCCUGUGUGUCGGAGGUGAAAUCCAGCGGCUCAACCGCUGGCCUGCCCCCGAAACUGCAGGGCUUGAGUCCGUGAGAGGAAGGCGGAAUUCCUGGUGUAACGGUGAAAUGUGCAGAUAUCAGGAAGAACACCCGUAGCGAAGGCGGCCUUCUGGUGCGGUACUGACGCUGAGGCACGAAAGCUAGGGUAUCGAACGGGA